GGAAGCACCGGGCUAACUACGUGCCAGCAGCCGCGGGUAAUACGUAGGGGUGCAAACGUUGUUCGGGAAUCACUGGGCAUAAAGGGCGUGUAGGCGGUCUGAUAAGUCAGGUGUGAAAUCCCCCGGCCUAACCGGGGAACUGCAUUUGAUACUGUCGGGCUAGAGUGCAGGAGGGGAGAGCGGAAUUCCUGGUGGAGCGGUGAAAUGCGUAGAUAUCAGGAGGAACGCCGGUGGCGAAAGCGACUCUCUGGUCUGCAACUGACGCUGAGGCGCGAAAGCUAGGGGAGCAAACGGGAUUAGAUACCCCGGUAGUCCUAGCCCUAAACGAUGGGUACUAAGUAGAGGGAAUUCCGAUAUUUUCUCUGCCGGAGCAAAUGUAUUAAGUACCCCGCCUGGGGAGUAUGGUCGCAAGGCUAAAACUCAAAGGAAUUGACGGGGGCUCACACAAGCGGUGGAGCAUGUUGUUCAAUUCGAAGCAACGCGAAGAACCUUACCUGGGUUUGACAUGGUUGGGACAGCCUGCGAAAGCAGGUUUCCUCUUUGAGGCCCUUCCACAGGUGUUGCAUGGCUGUCGUCGGCUCGUGUCGUGAGAUGUCGGGUUAAGUCCCAUAACGAGCGAAACCCCUGUCCUUAGUUGCCAGCGGGUCAUGCCGGGCACUUUAGGGAGACUGCCGGUGUUAAACCGGAGGAAGGUGGGGACGACGUCAAGUCAUCAUGGCCUUUAUGCCCAGGGCUACAAACGUGCCACAAUGGUCGGUACAAAGAGAAGCAAGGCCGAAAGGCGGAGCAAACCUCAAAAAGCCGAUCCCAGUCCGGAUUGGGGGCUGCAACUCGCUCCCAUGAAGUUGGAAUCGCUAGUAAUCGCGGAUCAGCUACGCCGCGGUGAAUGUGUUCCUGAGCCUUGUGCACACCGCCCGUCAAGCCACCCAAGCAGGGCGCACCCGAAAUCGCUGACCCAACCCUUUGGGGGGGGAGGCGCUGAAGGUGAGUUUUGUGAGGGGGACUAAGUCGUAACAAGGUAGCCA
rnacentral:rRNA from 1 species